GCCACCGUAGCUCAACCUGGCAGAGCGAUUGCUUCGUAAGCAAUAGGUUGGGGGUUCAAUUCCCUCCGGUGGCU
rnacentral:tRNA from 1 species